CCCGCUGAAUUUAAGCAUAUUAAUAAGCGGAGGAAAAGAAACUAACAAGGAUUCCCCUAGUAAUGGCGAAUGAAAUAUA
rnacentral:ncRNA from 1 species